CUUUAAGACGGUGUCCCCUGUGUCCCCAGACCUGGUGUAAACCCUUUGUGCCUGCCUGGCUAAUUCCCACUUGGUUCAGUAAAUGGGGCUUACUGAACCAAGUACCACACAGGCAGACCACCCAGAAGUGGAAGUGUGCAGGCAAUUUACCUCCCAGAAGCUGCGGUUAACCGCAGCUUAAUUGACAAUGUUGGGAGGUCUUUGUUCGUUUGCCGAACACGUGGCGGCGGCCAUCUUUGAUCAUUCGACGAGGUCAGCG